rnacentral:rRNA from 1 species
CCUACGGGAGGCAGCAGUGGGGAAUAUUGGACAAUGGGGGGAACCCUGAUCCAGCGACGCCGCGUGAGUGAAGAAGUAUUUCGGUAUGUAAAGCUCUAUCAGCAGGGAAGAAAGAAAUGACGGUACCUGACUAAGAAGCCCCGGCUAACUACGUGCCAGCAGCCGCGGUAAUCCGUAGGGGGCAAGCGUUAUCCGGAUUUACUGGGUGUAAAGGGUGAGUAGACGGCGAUGCAAGUCUGACGUGAAAGGCGGGGGCCCAACCUCCGGACUGCUGUGGAAACUGGAUGGCUGGAGUGCAGGAGAGGUAAGUGGAAUUCCUAGUGUAGCGGUGAAAUGCGUAGAUAUUAGGAGGAACACCAGUGGCGAAGGCGGCUUACUGGACUGUAACUGACGUUGAGGCUCGAAAGCGUGGGGAGCAAACAGGAUUAGAUACCCCAGUAGUC